rnacentral:rRNA from 1 species
AUUGAACGCUGGCGGCAUGCUUUACACAUGCAAGUCGAACGGCAGCGCGGGGCAACCUGGCGGCGAGUGGCGAACGGGUGAGUAAUAUAUCGGAACGUACCCAGAAGUGGGGGAUAACGUAGCGAAAGUUACGCUAAUACCGCAUACGAUCUACGGAUGAAAGUAGGGGACCGCACGGCCUUAUGCUUUUGGAGCGGCCGGUAUCUGAUUAGCUAGUUGGUGAGGUAAAGGCUCACCAAGGCGACGAUCAGUAGCUGGUCUGAGAGGACGACCAGCCACACUGGAACUGAGACACGGUCCAGACUCCUACGGGAGGCAGCAGUGGGGAAUUUUGGACAAUGGGCGCAAGCCUGAUCCAGCAAUGCCGCGUGAGUGAAGAAGGCCUUCGGGUUGUAAAGCUCUUUUGUCAGGGAAGAAACGGUAGAGGCUAAUAUCCUUUACUAAUGACGGUACCUGAAGAAUAAGCACCGGCUAACUACGUG